rnacentral:rRNA from 1 species
UACGUAGGGUGCGAGCGUUAAUCGGAAUUACUGGGCGUAAAGCGUGCGCAGGCGGUGAUGUAAGACAGUUGUGAAAUCCCCGGGCUCAACCUGGGAACUGCAUUUGUGACUGCAUGGCUGGAGUGCGGCAGAGGGGGAUGGAAUUCCGCGUGUAGCAGUGAAAUGCGUAGAUAUGCGGAGGAACACCGGUGGCGAAGGCAAUCCCCUGGGCCUGCACUGACGCUCAUGCACGAAAGCGUGGGGAGCAAACAGG